UUUCCAGAGUUCAAGACAGCUGAAAUCCUCAGGCCUAAUUCCAAAUCCCCAGGGAAGGAGUCUCACUGGCCCAUCUUGAUCCCCAGGAUCACAGUCAGUGGGUGCUGGGGAGCUGGCUUCCAUAGGCUCAUGAGAGCUGACUGUGCACAUCUCUUCCCAACUCUAAGUUCAGUGAUUUCAGACUGAAGGAACCUGAUCUCCACCUCAUGUCUAAGACUUUCCAUGAGACUUUCUUUGAAAACUGUCAAAUUAAACAACUGGUAUGUUUUUGCAAUACAAAAUGCUACCCAUUCAACCCUAGGGAUAACAGGGAGUAAAAGCCAUAAUUAUAAUAAUCCAAUUAAAAGUGGGCAAAAAAUCUAAAUAGACAUUUUUCUAAAGAAGAUACAUGAAAGGCCAACAAGUACAUGAAAAGAUGUUCAACAGCAUUAAUCAUUAAGGAAAUGCAAAUGAAAACCACAAUGAGAUCUCUCCUCAAGCUUGUUAGAAUAGCUAUCACCA